rnacentral:rRNA from 1 species
UACGUAGGUGGCAAGCGUUGUCCGGAAUUAUUGGGCGUAAAGCGCGCGCAGGCGGUCCUUUAAGUCUGAUGUGAAAUCUUGCGGCUCAACCGCAAGCGGUCAUUGGAAACUGGGGGACUUGAGUGCAGAAGAGGAAAGCGGAAUUCCACGUGUAGCGGUGAAAUGCGUAGAGAUGUGGAGGAACACCAGUGGCGAAGGCGGCUUUCUGGUCUGUAACUGACGCUGAGGCGCGAAAGCGUGGGGAGCAAACAGG